rnacentral:lncRNA from 1 species
GUAAAGACAAGAACUGAAUCCUGGAGUUCUCCAAUGAACUUGAAGGCAGUUCCACCAAAGAGUUUCCUCCCCAAGAAAAUAAUUAUUUUAAAAACUUGAGAAAGACCUUGUGACUCUUAUAGCUUUCUGAGCUUCCUGAACCUCUUUAGUUUCAGGGACUGAGUCUUUCAAGUUUGCUCAGCUUCCUGAGUUUGAGCCCUCCUUCUUCACAAGGGAAUGUUUCAACUCAAAGGAAAUGGCUGCAGUGAAGAGGAACCACAGGAACAUUUCUAGAAGAGAUCCAAGAAGUCAAAAUGGAGCCUGAACCAGACAAAGUCUCUGAUUAAAAGGUACCCCCCAGAGGAGGAGCAGAAAAGAAUCUUUUUAAGAAAAUAAAAAUAGAAAA